rnacentral:rRNA from 1 species
UUAAACGUCCAUAGCGCGUUGAAUACACCGGUUCAUGUCCGAUCCCCGAAAUUAAGCAACGUCGGGUGCGGUCAGUACUUGGAUGUGUGACCGCCUGGGAACACUGCGUGACGUUGGCU